rnacentral:rRNA from 1 species
GAUGAACGCUGGCGGCGUGCCUAAUACAUGCAAGUCGAGCGAACAGACGAGGAGCUUGCUCCUUUGACGUUAGCGGCGGACGGGUGAGUAACACGUGGGUAACCUACCUAUAAGACUGGGAUAACUUCGGGAAACCGGAGCUAAUACCGGAUAAUAUUUCGAACCGCAUGGUUCGAUAGUGAAAGAUGGCUUUGCUAUCACUUAUAGAUGGACCUGCGCCGUAUUAGCUAGUUGGUAAGGUAACGGCUUACCAAGGCAACGAUACGUAGCCGACCUGAGAGAGUGAUCGGCCACACUGGAACUGAGACACGGUCCAGACUCCUACGGCAGGCAGCAGUAGGGAAUCUUCCGCAAUGGGCGAAAGCCUGACGGAGCAACGCCGCGUGAGUGAUGAAGGUCUUCGGAUCGUAAAACUCUGUUAUUAGGGAAGAACAAACGUGUAAGUAACUGUGCACGUCUUGACGGUACCUAAUCAGAAAGCCACGGCUAACUACGUG